CUAUAGCCUGUUACGUAAUUUUAUUGUUUCGAAAGUUCUGGACAGAGCUAGCAGAUGUUAAUACUUAAAUUAAGUCAUUUUUGGAUUAAAGUUGUGGCUACGUGCAUACACGUUUGUGCAUCUAUACUGGGGAUGGCUGAACUCUGGAUCUGUAACUACGCUGUACUAUAAUUCCUUCGGCAGUUUUUUAGACAUUUGGCCCAUCACAGGAGCAUGUCAAGUGGCUACACAUAUAAGUAUAUGGAUACAUUUAAUGCUGUGAAUAUUUUCCAAAAGCAUCUGAAAUUUCAUAAAGGUUCCAGAAAAUUAAAGGGUAUCUCCAAAAACAUGCAAAAACCACAGCUCGUUUUAUUAGUUGUGGUAGUAAGAGGUACUUUGUCCUGGCCUCCUUGCACAUCGUUUGUGUAUAACUGCAGCUAUAAGACUUCCACUUUCCCCUGUGAUGUUAAAAGAGGGACUCGUGCUUCUUCG